UGCAACGCGAAAACCUUACCACCUUUGACAUGUACGGAAUCCUUAGAGAUAGAGGAGUGCUCGAAAGAGAACCGUAACACAGGUGCUGCAUGGCUGUCGUCAGCUCGUGUCGUGAGAUGUUGGGUUAAGUCCCGCAACGAGCGCAACCCUUGUCAUUAGUUGCUACAUUCAGUUGGGCACUCUAAUGAGACUGCCGGUGACAAACCGGAGGAAAGGUGGGGAUGACGUCAAGUCCUCAUGGCCCUUAUAGGUGGGGCUACACACGUCAUACAAUGGAUGGUACAAAGGGUCGCCAACCCGCGAGGGGGAGCCAAUCCCAUAAAGCCAUUCGUAGUCCGGAUCGCAGUCUGCAACUCGACUGCGUGAAGUCGGAAUCGCUAGUAAUCGUGGAUCAGCAUGUCACGGUGAAUACGUUCCCGGGUCUU
rnacentral:rRNA from 1 species